rnacentral:rRNA from 1 species
UGCGUAGGCGGGCUAAUAAGUCAGUGGUGAAAUCUCUCGGCUCAACCGGGAAACUGCCAUUGAUACUGUUAGUCUUGAGUUCGGUUGAGGUAGGCGGAAUGUGUAAUGUAGCGGUGAAAUGCUUAGAUAUUACACAGAGCACCAAUUGCGUAGGCAGCUUACUAGACCGACACUGACGCUGAGGCACGAAAGCGUGGGGAGCGAACAGGAUUAGAUACCCUGGUAGUCC